AACGGUAAGGCCCUUCGGGGUACACGAGUGGCGAACGGGUGAGUAACACGAUGAGUAACCUGCCCUUGACUCUGGGAUAACAGUAGGAAACUGCUGCUAAUACCGGAUAUUCAGCUGUCACCGCAUGGUGGUUGUUGGAAAGCUCUGGCGGUCAAGGAUGGACUCGCGGCCUAUCAGCUUGUUGGUGAGGUAGUGGCUCACCAAGGCUUCGACGGGUAGCCGGCCUGAGAGGGCGACCGGCCACAUUGGGACUGAGAUACGGCCCAAACUCCUACGGGAGGCAGCAGUGGGGAAUAUUGCACAAUGGGCGCAAGCCUGAUGCAGCAACGCCGCGUGCGGGAUGACGGCCUUCGGGUUGUAAACCGCUUUCAGCGCAGACGAAGCGAAAGUGACGGUAUGCGCAGAAGAAGCACCGGCCAACUACGUGCCAGCAGCCGCGGUGAUACGUAGGGUGCGAGCGUUGUCCGGAAUUAUUGGGCGUAAAGAGCUUGUAGGCGGUUUGUUGCGUCAGAAGUGAAAACUCAGGGCUUAACCCUGAGCCUGCUUCUGAUACGGGCAGACUAGAGGAAGUUAGGGGAGAACGGAAUUCCUGGUGGAGCGGUGGAAUGCGCAGAUAUCAGGAGGAACACCGGUGGCGAAAGCGGUUCUCUGG
rnacentral:rRNA from 1 species